UACGAAGGGUGCAAGCGUUACUCGGAAUUACUGGGCGUAAAGCGUGCGUAGGUGGUUCGUUAAGUCUGAUGUGAAAGCCCUGGGCUCAACCUGGGAAUGGCAUUGGAAACUGGCGAUCUAGAGCGCGGUAGAGGGUAGUGGAAUUCCCGGUGUAGCAGUGAAAUGCGUAGAGAUCGGGAGGAACAUCUGUGGCGAAGGCGACUGCCUGGACCAGCACUGACACUGAGGCACGAAAGCGUGGGGAGCAAACAGG
rnacentral:rRNA from 1 species